rnacentral:rRNA from 1 species
AGUGAACGCUGGCGGUAGGCCUAACACAUGCAAGUCGAACGGCAGCACAGUAAGAGCUUGCUCUUACGGGUGGCGAGUGGCGGACGAGUGAGGAAUACAUCGGAAUCUACUUUUUCGUGGGGGAUAACGUAGGGAAACUUACGCUAAUACCGCAUACGACCUACGGGUGAAAGCAGGGGAUCUUCGGACCUUGCGCGAUUGAAUGAGCCGAUGUCGGAUUAGCUAGUUGGCGGGGUAAAGGCCCACCAAGGCGACGAUCCGUAGCUGGUCUGAGAGGAUGAUCAGCCACACUGGAACUGAGACACGGUCCAGACUCCUACGGGAGGCAGCAGUGGGGAAUAUUGGACAAUGGGCGCAAGCCUGAUCCAGCCAUACCGCGUGGGUGAAGAAGGCCUUCGGGUUGUAAAGCCCUUUUGUUGGGAAAGAAAAGCAGCAGGCUAAUACCCCGCUGUUCUGACGGUACCCAAAGAAUAAGCACCGGCUAACUUCGUG